rnacentral:lncRNA from 1 species
UUUCUGUGUUCUCUGAGUCAGCAAACGAUGUAAACUAUGAAAGACACAUUCAUUAUCAGUCAUAUGGAUUCACAAAGCCAAAGUUUGUGUGUUUACUUGCUCACCACAACACUCAGCUUAUUAAACAUACAAUUCCACCAGUAGAUGCGUACACUGGUUGUCGACAGAAGCACUCGGCAUGGUUUCGUCCUUCUCAUGCCAGGCUCUUUGAUGGUUACUGGUGUUCUUGACGUUACACUAGCGAAUGAUGUUAUGUUAAUGUUUCUUGCACCUGUAAACAUGUUUUAGAGGUCGCAUCAGUGAAUCUUAAAAUAAAUCUGUAGCGCUGGCUAAAAUAUAGGUUACAAGUGGUUGCCUUUGUAACUUCACUGCUACUGCUGCUUUGAUGUUACACUAGCAAAUGAAGUUAUGUUUCUUGCAGUUUUAUGCUUCCCGUCAAUGGUGCAAAGCUCUGCCGCUGCAGCUACUCAGCUUUGAUUUUAUGUUUUCGAUCCUACAAAAAACACAUCCUCAUUAUUUGGUUAACCGGGUAGAAGUUGUAUGCAUCGUUGUCCUGUAGGUCUUUGCUAUCAUUUUGGUGCAACACGGGCCUUUUACUCCCAUUAUUUGAGGAAGAUGAAUGUGCGUCUUGGUCUACUAGAGAGCGACCAUUAAUCACAACUCUUUUCCAAACUGGACUGAGAUUCCUCAUCUGACUUGCCAACUGAAGAAUCAAUUGGAGCUGGCGGUUGUUGCUCCUUUCGUGGAGAUAGGUGCUUGAUUACCAACUAGAGAAACACCAGGAGGUGAGAAUGAUGGAAUCUGAUUUAAAGUGUCCGUGCUUGAUUUGCUACAAUGUAAGGAGAGCCCAAAGUACCUAAAAGUGUAAGAGGAUAGCCCAAAGUAACUAAACAUGUAAAGCACUCAUAUAUAAACACAAGGCCCACAAUCAUGUGCUUGGUUGGCUUGUAUUGAAGACCGGCACUGGUUCUCGCACUGUAUGGUUGACUAUAGAUUGGGCCUUGUUGAUCUAGUUGAUAAAGAAAAAAAA